rnacentral:lncRNA from 1 species
AGAUAUUGCUUACGCACUAGAUGCCGCACGUAGGAGUUCACAUCAUCGGCGACAUAGUUUUUAGUCGUCAGUUGUCUAUUAAAUAUAUGACAUUAUCCCUGUUGAAAUAUGAAAUCUAUUAAACUGAAUUCAAGUAGACCUACAGGUCAGAGCAUGACAAUAUAGUUAAAUUUAUUGAUUGAUUGUUAUAAAUUCAAACAGGCAAUGAAUAAAAUGGAGUUAUAUUUUAUAUUGAAUGUUUAUUUUACAGAUCUCCUAAUAUUAUAUGGCUAUAUUAUGUAUGUGCCGUGUUGGUUUUUAAAUUAAUCAAUUAUUCUCAAAUAUCGUGAUUCUAGAGUUUCCGUCUCUCAUCACCCAAUUUCGACAUUCCUCUUCCCUCUUCGCUAUUCCAGAUCUUGUUAAGUUAUCAUCCCAAAUAUCUAUAUGGCUAUACACAUUUCAGAUCGAUUUUCUCAUCCCAAUAAUCCCAUUUGUAUUUCAUAAUCUCUCGAUAUAUUUUUUCUUACUUGAUUAUGAUAUCAUCAUUACAAUCUUGUUAAGUUUUAACUAACAAUAAAAGAGACGAAUUGAAAUUCGUUAGAAUAGAGAAUUAAUUAUAUCCGUUAUCUGUUAUAAUUAGUUAGAUUGAAUAAUUAAAGUAGUUAUUAAUUAACGGAAGAGCCAUUUCUUUUAAUUGAUUAUUCUUCAGUCCUUAAUUUAUAAGUUAUUCAUAUGAAGUACACGUCGGCACUGCAAACAAUUAAAGUAUGAGAGAGCAUUCAAAGGUAAACCGUGGGGAAACCUUCUGCUGUCACUAUAGUAAUCCAGAUAUAUUAGAUCGACACAAUGAUUUACCAUUGGAGAAGAUGCAUGCAUUGAUCAUCUAGAAGUUCUGAUAAGAGGCAGUGAAGGGAGCCUAAGACUAGUCUAUGUUGACAAGACUGCCUCUUGUUGCCCAGCUAUUACCAUUCCAUAGACUAGAGUAAACUCUCUGGUGUUAGUUUUUUGGAUAUGGUAUGCCGAGUUUCUCUUGAACGUUUCUAAACACUCUAAUGGGUACGUCGUCCACGUACCAUCUACAUAUAUAAAGGAUUGAUCAUGCGUAUUUUUGAGUACGUACGCCAGGUGUUUAUAAGGUUAUACUUGCAUGUUGUUAGUGGGAUUCCAGAUAAUGGUGUAGGUGUGAAAUUAAAGCCGAGGAUCAAACCACAGUUGGAACAGUUGUUCCCUGUUUCCUUUCCCUUGGCUAUAGAUAUUAGUAUGGAGGGUGUAUGGCCUUCCACUCAGGUUCCCAAGGAACUCAAAAUCUAUCUUGUCGUGAUUAUUUCCCUGGGAUAACAUCUGCAUAUACGGUAGGAGGAGAAGAGUAUGGGAGUAUGCAAAGCUUUUUCAUGCGGCCAGGCGACCAGGCGAUGUCUGGGUGUGCAUAUUGCAUAUGGAAGCGCCUAGUCGCAUAUGCGACGUAUUUUUUUACCUUGUUUCAACAUGAAAAGAUUGGAAGAAAAUACCCGUCCAGAAAUUUGGAUGUUCUGACAGGCUAAAAGGAGACGUCCGACGACUAAAAUAAAGGCUCCGGCGAGGAUUAGGGGAGAGGAGUAAGAUCUGGAUUGGGGAGGUCAUGGGAGGGAGACAACGGUUUUGUUUUUGGAGUUAGUGUUUAGAAAUUUUAAAUAUUGUUAUUUAAUCGGGUUUUUUUAAGGUUCUUAAUUUUUAAAGUAUGAAAAGUUUCAUUUUUCAAAUGUUUAUUAGGUAUAUGGGUCGGGCUUAGCCGGAUCCGGAUCCGAUCUCGAUCUGACUAAGACUUAAAAAUAGGUGACCCCCCAAAUAUGUGAUGGGAAUGCAUCUGAUCGUAUAUGCGACUAUAUGCAAAAGUACGGAGUAUGCAUAAUUUGAUCGAUGAUCAAAUAGAAAGAGGAAAUAAUGAACGUACAUUAUAAGCGGUAACUCUUCCAGCCGAGUUGCCAGGAAUAACUUUGAUCUAUAUGUCGAUUCUUCGAAACAUGUAUUCCUGUUUGGAUUGAAAUCCUGAUCUGGAUAUUUUAUCAGGUAAAAGUUGUAGCAGUCUACCUCUGUACAUAAUCUCACCUCUUCUCCCACCGCAUGUUAUUUCGACGCUGUUGAAGAAAUCAUCUGCCACAGCAUGUGAGACGAGGACGAGAAGAUCUAUAAGAAGAAGAAGAAUAUCACCAAGAUAGAUAUCCUCUUUCUCCUCUCCAUCUCUAGCUUAUUGCCGAUAUAUAUAGACCUAUAUAUAUAUACAUGUAUAUAGGCUAAAUAUCUGAU